rnacentral:rRNA from 1 species
AGAUUGAACGCUGGCGGCAUGCCUAACACAUGCAAGUCGAACGGGAGUAGCAAUACUCUAGUGGCGGACGGGUGAGGAAUACGUAGGAAUUUGCCCUUAAGUGGGGGAUAACCCGGGGAAACCCGGAUUAAUACCGCAUGACCUCGAAAGAGCAAAGUGGGGGAUCGCAAGACCUCACGCUUUUGGAGAAGCCUACGUCGGAUUAGCUAGUUGGUGAGGUAAUGGCUCACCAAGGCGACGAUCCGUAACUGGUCUGAGAGGAUGAUCAGUCACACCGGAACUGAGACACGGUCCGGACUCCUACGGGAGGCAGCAGUGGGGAAUAUGGACAAUGGGCGCAAGCCUGAUCCAGCAAUGCCGCGUGUGUGAAGAAGGCCUUGGUUGUAAAGCACUUUAAGUUGGGAAGAAAAACGUACGACGUACUAACACAGUGAGUCUUGACGGUACCGACAGAAUAAGACACCGGCUAACUCUGU